UUGGUUUAAAGAAACAUAAAUUGUUUCCUCAAAGGGCAUAAGGGGGACAUGUUUGUGGGACUCAUGGGCAAGAGAUCUUUAGGAGGUGCUGUCACAAGAACAAUCCCAGAGACCAGUACAGCAAUGGACAAAUCUGCAGAUUUGAACAAACAAAAAGCAGAUCUUCAAGAGGAAUGGGACAGACUGCAGUACUACUAACAUUUUCCAACGCUGUAUUACAGACUUCACUGGCCUCGGUGUAUCGGUAUACAAUUAUUCUUGACUUUUCACUGGAACCAACAUUAUACUUAAUGAGAACAUCAUCUGUGAGCAUUUUUAAGCAAAUAAAUGUCUUGCUUAAGAUAUCAAAUGUGACAUAAUAAAAGUA